AUGUUUUAAACACCGCGUGUGUUUCUGUUCUCAGGUGCGAUCACAGCUGUGGGCUCAUUUUCUCUGAAAGCAAACGAACUCCUGCAGGUGAUAGACAAGAGCAUGAAGAACUUUAAAGCCUUUUUCCGCUGGUUGUACGUCGCCAUGCUGAGGAUGUGUGAGGAGCACGUUCCUCCAGAGCUCAACAAGAUGACCCAGAAGGAUAUUGCCUUCGUGGCUGACUUCCUGUCGGAGCACUUCAGUGAGAACGAAGAGCUGUUUGAUCGCAAAGGGAAAUACUUUAACGUGGAGCGAGUGGGCCAGGUAGGAGUUCUGUGU